CCUAUUUUUAUUGGCCCAUAUUUCUUGAUGGUUCUAUAUUGGAGCGGAGUCUUGAAGUGGGUAGAAUAUAGUUGUGCAUUAAUUGGCUGUUGAUUGCUGGUGUUGACUUCUUGAUGUGUAGUGCCUAUGCAUUUCUAGAUGUCCAUCUUGAAGGAACAGGAAGCUUAGUUGCAUUUUGAGCACUAGCAAGGUGAUAAGCUAAGUUGCAUCUUGAGCCCUAGCAAGGUGAUAAGCUAAGUUGCAUCUUGAGCCCUAGCCAGGUGAUAAGCUAAGUUGUAUCUUGAGCCCUAGCAAGGUGAUAAGCUAAGUUGCAUCUUGAGCCCCAGCAAGGUGAUAAGCUAAGUUGCUUCUUGAGCCCUUAGCAAGGUGAUAAGCUAAGUUGCAUCUUGAGCCCUAGCAAGGUGAUAAGCUAAGUUGCAUCUUGAGCCCUUAGCAAGGUGAUAAGCUAAGUUGCAUUUUGAGCCCUUAGCAAGGUGAUAAGCUUAGAACUCUUUGCUUACUUUUCAAAAUCUAUUCUAAUAUACUGCAUCUAUUUAGUCCAAUCUGUCACUUACAUAAAGUUGUAUCUGUCCUUAUCAGUCAGUCUGUCUGUCUGCGUCUCUGUAUAUCCGUCAGUCUGUCUCACUGUCUCCUGUUGAAUAUGUUUUUUGUUCCUGAAUGUAUGUAGCUCCUACAUGAUAUAUCCAAUAAAGAUAUAAUGAGUA